rnacentral:lncRNA from 1 species
UUGUGCUGUGUAUAAGGGUAAUAUAGCAAUGGUGUAUGUGUUGUUGUGAGUAUAAGGGUAAUAUAGCAAUGGUGUAUGUUUGUGAUGUGUAUAAGGGUAAUAUAGCAAUGGUGUAUGUUUGUGGUGAGUAUAAGGGUGAUAUAGCAAUGGUGUAUGUUUGUGGUGAGUAUAAGGGUAAUAUAGCAAUGGUGUAUGUUUUUG